UGUCUGUGUGUGUGUGUGUAUGUAUGUAUGUAUGUAUGUCUGUGUGUGUGUGUGUGUGUGUCAGUAUGUCUGCCAGGAUAUAUUUGUAUGUCAGUGUAUGUGUGUGUCAGUAUAUAUCUGUGAAUGUUUAAUGUCUGUCUGUAUCAGCCAUUACGUCUGUCUGUGUAUAUGUCAGUAUGCCUGUGUGUGUGUGUGUGUGUGUGUAUAUGUCAGUAUGCCUGUGUGUGUGUCAAUGUGUCUGUCAGUGUAUGUGUCUGUGUGUUUUAGUAUAUCUGUCAGUGUAUGUGUUUGUGUGUGUGUCAGUAUAUCUGUUAAUGUAUGUGUCUGU